GAUGAACGCUGGCGGCGUGCCUAAUACAUGCAAGUCGAGCGAACAGACGAGGAGCUUGCUCCUCUGACGUUAGCGGCGGACGGGUGAGUAACACGUGGAUAACCUACCUAUAAGACUGGGAUAACUUCGGGAAACCGGAGCUAAUACCGGAUAAUAUAUUGAACCGCAUGGUUCAAUAGUGAAAUACGGUUUUUGUGUCACUUAUAGAUGGAUCCGCGCCGCAUUAGCUAGUUGGUAAGGUAACGGCUUACCAAGGCAACGAUGCGUAGCCGACCUGAGAGGGUGAUCGGCCACACUGGAACUGAGACACGGUCCAGACUCCUACGGGAGGCAGCAGUAGGGAAUCUUCCGCAAUGGGCGAAAGCUUGACGGAGCAACGCCGCGUGAGUGAUGAAGGUCUUCGGAUCGUAAAACUCUGUUAUUAGGGAAGAACAAAUGUGUAAGUAACUAUGCACGUCUUGACGGUACCUAAUCAGAAAGCCACGGCUAACUACGUG
rnacentral:rRNA from 1 species